AGCUGUGUGCACCGAGGCCAGGAGAGAGGAGGGCACAUGUCCAAGGCCACAGGGGGAGAUGAGAGCUGAGCUAAGCACUGGCUUCCCCGGACGUCCCCCAGGAAGGGACCAGGUCCCUGUCCCUGCACUCUGAUUCCCUUGGGACACCUUCUCCUCCUGUUGCUGUUCCAUGGGUCCCAAGAGCCAGCCUGGCAUCGUCAGAUGGGAACCUGUGCCUGGUGGUGGUUCUCUUGUCCCCCCAUCUGAACUGGAGAAGCCCCUGGUGCUUUUAAACUGUGGAGGGUGAAGGUUCAAGAAGAUGGCACAGGGGUGUUUCUCUACUUCCCAGUCCGGCCAAGUCUGAGAGUCGAUCCCCAAACAGGGCAGCCUGGCUGCGAGGGAGGGGAGCCAGGUUUCCUCGGAGAUGCUGAAGGAGAAGCCCACAUGCCCCCUGCUGCUUGGAUCCCUCCAGUGAUGGGGUGCUCACUCAGGCAUUUUUCCAUGUUCUGUUCUGUUCUUGUUUUUUUUCCUGUUACCUUUCGGGGGUUCCGUUGUGGCGCGGGGAGAACCCUUGCGUGUGGAUCGGAUCUUCCCUGAGCUGCGCUCUA